GAUGAACGCUGGCGGCGUGCCUAAUACAUGCAAGUCGAGCGAACAGACGAGGAGCUUGCUCCUCUGACGUUAUCGGCGGACGGGUGAGUAACACGUGGAUAACCUACCUAUAAGACUGGGAUAACUUCGGGAAACCGGAGCUAAUACCGGAAAAUAUAUUGAACCUCAUGGGUCAAUAGUGAAAUACGGUUUUGCGGUGACUUAUAGAUGGAUCCGUGCCGGAUUAGUUAGUUGGUAAGGUAACGGCUUACCAAGGCAACGAUGGGUAGCCGACCCGAGCGCGAGAUCGGCCACCAUGGAUGUGAGACUCGGUCCAGACUCCUACGGGAGGACACAGUAGGGAAUCCUACGCAAUGGAGGAAAGCUUGACGGAGCAACGCGGCGUGAGUCAUGAAGGUCUUCGGAUCGUAAAACGCUGUUAUUCGGGAAGAACAAAUGUGUAAGUACCUAUGCACGUAUUGACGGUACCUAAUCAGAAAGCCACGGCUAACUCCGUG
rnacentral:rRNA from 1 species